AAAAUCUUCAAAACCUAAACAUCUUACUCCAAUUUUCUCCCUCUGCCGCACCACCUCUAUUACUUGUUCCUUUUUGUCUUCGACCAUCGAUGCAUUUUAAUGGACAAGAGUUAGAGAAGAGGAAAAAUGACUUUGCAGACAUUCGUUUAGCCUUUUUGUUUAUGGUAAAACCUACUUCAUCCUUUCCCUGAAUGCAAGAAGAUCAUCGGGCGGGUUGCAGCAUCACAAAUCCCAGACAAAUGCUUUUUUUUUUUUUUUUUGAUAUGAGAAACUUUAGAAUUUUACAGAUUAUGGUUGAAAUGUAUAACAUAUUGUGCAUAGUUUGUAAUAUUUGUUCCUAUCCAGCCUAUCUAGUUUUAUUCUACAAUCUCAUAUAGGUAUGAUUUGGAAGUAUUUUGUAUUAUGAAUGUUAUGAACUUUAGUUAUAUAUUUGUGUAUUUUUUUUGUAUGAAUUAAGUCAUACCUUAAGCUUAUUAUGUUGUUAAUG